GACGAACGCUGGCGGCGUGCCUAAUACAUGCAAGUCGAACGCACGAAGUUGAAGAGCUUGCUCUUUAACCAAGUGAGUGGCGGACGGGUGAGUAACACGUGGGUAACCUGCCCAUUAGAGGGGGAUAACAUUCGGAAACGGAUGCUAAUACCGCAUAGUUUCAGGAAUCGCAUGAUUCUUGAAGGAAAGGUGGCUUCGGCUACCACUAAUGGAUGGACCCGCGGCGUAUUAGCUAGUUGGUGAGGUAAUGGCUCACCAAGGCAAUGAUACGUAGCCGACCUGAGAGGGUGAUCGGCCACACUGGGACUGAGACACGGCCCAGACUCCUACGGGAGGCAGCAGUAGGGAAUCUUCCGCAAUGGACGAAAGUCUGACGGAGCAACGCCGCGUGAGCGAAGAAGGCCUUCGGGUCGUAAAGCUCUGUUGUUAGGGAAGAACGUUGGUGAGAGUAGAAAGCUCAUCAAGUGACGGUAACUACCCAGAAGGGGACGGCUAACUCCGUGCCAGCAGCCGCGGUAAUACAGAGGGUGCGAGCGUUAGUCGGAUUUACUGGGCGUAAAGCGUGCGUAGGCGGCUUUUUAAGUCGGAUGUGAAAUCUCUGAGCUUAACUUAGGAGUUGCAUUCGAUACUGGGAAGCUAGAGUAUGGGAGAGGAUGGUAGAAUUCCAGGUGUAGCGGUGAAAUGCGUAGAGAUCUGGAGGAAUACCGAUGGCGAAGGCAGCCAUCUGGCCUAAUACUGACUCUGAGUACGAAAGCAUGGGGAGCAACAGG
rnacentral:rRNA from 1 species